AAAUCAUGAUCCAUGAGUCAAACCUGUAAAAUCACCCCAUACUCUCUUUGCCCACAUAUGGGCAGGAUGUGAGAGCACAGGGGCUCCCAGUGGUCUUUCUUGCAUAGGUUAACCAAGAGAUAGUGGGGGGUCUGCUGUGCUAAAUGCCUGGAACUAGUUUAGUGCAGAGAUCAAACUGGGGAUACGUGGAUUAAAUUCUAUUCACUGGAUUUGAGUUUGUUUACACAAGCCCCAAACCCAAGAAUCUCCCAGAAUGGACUGCUAUCUGUCUUCGUGAUAAGCACCAGAUUCUGGUGUGUGUUGUGGUAUGUAUGUGUGUUUAGUUUAAUGGACUUUGUCCCACUUUUUGCAAAGUCAAGUAUACUCUGGAAUUUGCUAUAAACUCCAAAAUAUCAAGGGGAUUCAUAACAGUCUGGAUUGUAAAAUCGGGUAGUUUGUGUGGAUGCUCUGUCCAGACUGGACACCCAGCACCAUACAUUUUACCUGUAUACAUCAGCACAGGGAAGGAGAAUGGAUUGUGCCUGUGUUGCCUCUCUUCUUCUUGCAGAUCAUGCAGGCAUCUGUUUUUGGCAUCAACAGAACUGAUGGCCAGGAACUUUGGUGGUGGCAACAUGGAUGAGGUGAGAUGCAGGCCACCCCAAGUGAACAGAUGCAGUUCAGGACCAUCUGGACAAUGGAUAUGGACUUUGAUCCAUGGCAGAUUUACACUGAGUAAAGUUGCCAGAUACCUCCAUUGAGACAGUUAUCUCUUUAUCAAUUGAGCUGGUUGUUAGGAGGACCAAAGUGAUAUCACCCAUCUCUGCCUCCCCCCAGCUUCUUUAAGAAAGAUGGGGUGGAAAUGAGAAUAAAUGGGAAUAAUAGAUGGGAAAGCUGUAGCUAGCAAAAUCUUUACUACAUCGCUUUUAGAAACAUAACAGCAGUUAUGGGUGGAUAUGGGACAUACUGGCAGGGGUACACUUCUACAUGAGGGGAGCCAUAAAGUGCUGUCACAUUUUGUUAUGCAUUUGGCGACACCAUAUAAGAUUGAAAGUCCAGGGUGGGGGAGGAUGGAAAACUUCUGGGAAAUAUAAGUCAAAUUCAGCCCAUGAGAUAAUUUUGCCCAUCCCACACCCCAACUGUGUUUUGAAUUUUACUGUUGCCAACAUCCCCCAUACUUAUGUAAUAGUCUGGUUAGGAAGUUAGUCAUCAUUUGUAAAGUCUAAAGUGUGUUUUCUGAAAAUCAGUACUCGUGGUAUUUUUCAUAUGCUGCAUUUUGGAUUUAUUUUCUGACCUCCUACCCAAGCUUUAUAUAUUCCAUCAAAGUUUUCAGAACCACAUUGGCUGAUGAAGUUCAAGAUGGCUGUAAUACUAUGAUGUUCAUUUACAUGUUUUGAUAUGGUCAAAAGUGACUAAUCAAUAAAGAAUUGUUGUUGUUAAUGAUGUUCAGCAGGAAAAGGCAAUGCUAAAGGUAGAAGUAGAUUUAAUGUAACAAGAUAAUGCUAAUACUAGAAAACAGUGGUUCAACUACCAGAAAUCCUAACAGCAUGUAAACUGGCUGGGAUUUCUGAGAGUUGUAGGCCAAAACACCUGGGGAUGCAUAAGUUGAGAGCCACUGCUAUAGAAGGAAAUAAACUGGAACACAGACCCUGCUAUUCUCACCAGCACUACUAUCUUUAAAAUACACACAGCCCAGGGUGAAGCAUUUUCCCUGUCAGGUUAUCAGGAAGACAGGAUGAUUUGUUUUAUUAUAUCUAUAUGUUUCAAUCUGUUUUAUAAUUCGCAAUGUGUAUCUGUAUGUGCAACACAGCAUUACAUUUUGUCAUAAUCCAUAAGCUGCUCUGAGCCCCCUUUGGGGUGACAAGAGUGGGGUAUAAAUAUAGUAAAUAAUUACUAUAAGGGAAAUGUGCUUUUUACCAGUUUCAGUAUCUCAGUACUAAGUUGCCAGAAUCAGACAAGAACAAGACACCUAGAUAGAAAAGGGAAUUUUAUCAGUGAAUUCAAAUCACUCCUAUUAAAAUAGCCUUCUUUGCAACUCUCAGAAAUUCAGGAGUUCUGUUCUCAUUUUAAAACUUUGGCCACUAUACAUUGCUGAGUGACUUGAGCCCUGCAAGAACUGUGGGUUUGGGGCUUGGCAUCUACCCAGCUUGUAACUUUAUUGAAAAAAGAGAUCAAAUUAGUCUGGCAUGACUUGUUUCUGAUAAAUCCAUGUUGACUAUUAGCGAUGACCACAUUCAUUUCUAAGUGUUUGCAGACCACUACUAAUGAUCUUUUCCAGAAUCUUGCCUGGUAUUGACGUGAGGCUGACUGGAUGGUAAUUAUUUGGGUUGUCCUCCCCCCCCCCCCCCCCUUUUUGAGGAUAGAGACACAUUUGCCCUUCUCCAGUCUGCUGGGACUUGUCCUGUUCUCCAAGAACUCAAAGAUGAUUGCCAGAGGUUCUGAAAUGACCUCUGCUAGUUCCUUCAAUUCUCCUGGAUGUGGUUGAUCCAGCCCUGGGGACUUGAAUUUGUUUAGAGUGACCUGGAUGACUUGUUUCCCUAGUUGGGGUUGGCUAUACCCUAAUCCUUCAUCCACUUCAUGUUGCUGAGGAUGAGAAUUGCUUUCUUUUUAUGAGAAGACUGAGGUAAAGAAGGCAUUAAGUAUUUCUGCCUUUUCCAUAUCCCCUGUCAGCAUUUUCCCAGCUUUUCCUUGCAGAGGCCCUAUCGCCUCCUUGUUCUUCCUUUUUCUACCGACGUAAGCAAAGAUGCCCUUUUUAUUGUUUUUAAUGUCCCUGGCAAGCCUGAGCUAAUUUUGUGCUUUAGCCUAGCAAAUAUUUUCCCUACAGGAGUUGGUAAUUCAUUUGAAUUCUUCUUUGGUGAUUUCUCCCCUUUUCCACUUCUUGUGCAUGUCUCUUUUGAGUCUUAGCCCAGUUAGAAGUUCUUUGCACAUACAUUCUGGCUUCUUUGCACUUGUCUUAUUUUUUCUCUUUGUUGGCACUGUUUGCAAUUGUGCCUUGAGUAUUUCACUCUUGAAAAACUCCCAUCCAUCCGCAAUUUCCUCGUCUUUUCAUAUCGGCGUCUACUGAACACCGCUCAGUAUUUCAUUCAUUUUUUGAAAGUCAGCUUUUCUACAGUCCAGAUUGUGGGUUUGACUUGUUUUAGUUUCAGCCUUACUUUGUAUCGCAAACUGCAGGAGCACAUGGUCACUUGCCCCUAAGGAUCUGACCACUUCGACUGCAUUGAUCAGUUCCUCUGUGUUUGUUAGGAUGAGAUCAAGAAUAGCCAACCCCCUUGUUGUCUUUUGUACCUUCUGGACCAUAAAAUUUUCUACAAGGCAAGCAAGGAAUUUGUUGGACUUUGUACUCUUGGCUGAGUUUGUUUUCUAGCAAAUAUCAGGAAUGUUGAAAUAGCCCAUGACUGCUAUAUCUCUUCUUUGUUCCUGUACGGUCAACUGUUGACAGAAGGCUUCAUUGAGUUCUUCAGCCUGGCUUGGAGGAAAUGGGAUACAAUAUGACUUUCCAUAUCAGAGAGAGAUAUGGCCAUAUUGUUACAGUAGAAGGAGAGAUGAUUUAUCCCUAUCUUACAUUCAUGUCAUCCUGCCAACCCAGGUUUCAAAAACACAGUUCAGCUGUACCUGGAUGUCCAGAGAGAACAUUUUCACUAGAUGUACAGCACCAUCAAGAGAUAUCUUUCCUGAUGACAUUUUCUACGGAGCCAGUUAUUCAGUUCUAAUAUUCUUCUCUCUCUUCUCUGUCAAUGUAAAGAAGUGAUGAAAUAAGA